UGUCGACUACUUUACAAGAAGCUUCUAAACCUAUUUUAUCUGAUGCUAAAUGUACUUCUGAUCUGGGUGCUAACAUCUAUUACGCCGACUCAAUGAUGUGUUCUGGAUACGAUGCUGGGGGAAUCGACUCAUGUCAGAAUGAUAGUGGUGGACCAUUCUUCUGUCAACGAAACAAUGUCUGGGAACUUGUCGGUGUUAUAAGUUUUGGCUAUGGAUGUGCCCGACCUGGUAAACCAGGAGUUUACGCUGAUUGCUGGGACUUCAGAAGUUGGGUCAAUAACCAAAUCAAUU